AGAGUUUGAUCCUGGCUCAGGAUGAACGCUGGCGGUAUGCCUAACACAUGCAAGUCGAACGGUGUCUUCGGACACAGUGGCGGACGGGUGAGUAACGCGUGAGAAUCUGCCUCUAGGUUGGGGACAACAGUUGGAAACGACUGCUAAUACCCGAUGUGCCGUAAGGUAAAAGAUUUAUUGCCUGGAGAGGAGCUCGCGUCUGAUUAGCUAGUUGGUGGGGUAAAAGCCUACCAAGGCAGCGAUCAGUAGCUGGUCUGAGAGGAUGAGCAGCCACACUGGGACUGAGACACGGCCCAGACUCCUACGGGAGGCAGCAGUGGGGAAUUUUCCGCAAUGGGCGAAAGCCUGACGGAGCAAUACCGCGUGAGGGAGGAAGGCCUUUGGGUUGUAAACCUCUUUUCUCAGGGAAGAAGAUCUGACGGUACCUGAGGAAUAAGCAUCGGCUAACUCCGUGUCAGCAGCCGCGGUAAUACGGAGGAUGCAAGCGUUAUCCGGAAUCAUUGGGCGUAAAGCGUCCGCAGGUGGUUUUUCAAGUCUGCUGUUAAAGACUGGAGCUCAACUCCGGAAAGGCAGUGGAAACUGAGAAACUAGAGUUCGGUAGGGGUAGCGGGAAUUCCCAGUGUAGCGGUGAAAUGCGUAGAUAUUGGGAAGGACAUCGGUGGCGAAGGCGCGCUACUGGACCGAAACUGACACUCAGGGACGAAAGCUAGGGGAGCGAAAGGGAUUAGAUACCCCUGUAGUCCUAGCUGUAAACGAUGGAAACUAGGUGUGGCUUGUAUCGACCCGAGCCGUGCCGUAGCUAACGCGUUAAGUUUCCCGCCUGGGGAGUACGCACGCAAGUGUGAAACUCAAAGGAAUUGACGGGGGCCCGCACAAGCGGUGGAGUAUGUGGUUUAAUUCGAUGCAACGCGAAGAACCUUACCAGGGCUUGACAUGUCGCAAUCUCCUUGAAAGGGGAGAGUGCCUUCGGGAGCGCGAACACAGGUGGUGCAUGGCUGUCGUCAGCUCGUGUCGUGAGAUGUUGGGUUAAGUCCCGCAACGAGCGCAACCCUCGUCUUUAGUUGCCAGCAUUAAGGUGGGCACUUUGGAGAGACUGCCGGCGAUAAGUCGGAGGAAGGUGGGGACGACGUCAAAUCAUCAUGCCCCUUAUGACCUGGGCUACACACGUACUACAAUGGCCGUUACAGAGGGCAGCGAAACCGCGAGGUGGAGCAAAUCCCCAAAGGCGGCCCCAGUUCGGAUUGCAGGCUGAAACUCGCCUGCAUGAAGUCGGAAUUGCUAGUAAUGGUAGGUCAGCAUACUACCGUGAAUACGUUCCCGGGCCUUGUACACACCGCCCGUCACACCAUGAGAGUUGGUAAUACCCGAAGUCAGUAGUUUAACCGUAAGGAGGACGCUGCCGAAGGUAGGGCCGAUGAUUAGGGUGAAGUC
rnacentral:rRNA from 1 species